rnacentral:lncRNA from 1 species
GCGCCGCUUUUGUCGUCUACCACGCACCAAGUGAGUUUACACUGCACUCUCGUCCACCAUGAUCUUAUCCAUGGCACUUGUUUAAGUGGAUGGUAAUCUCACUGUUGUCCGUUUCCGAUCCACUGUGUUUGCUGCAGAGUACGGGAACUGCGUGCUCCCAUCAAAGACUUGGAUCCAAGAGACAAUAACAGCGAAGUCCAGUGUUACCGUUGUCUUGUACGUAACAAGAUGUGACAGUGACACACAAAAGCCCGGCAACUGCAAAUCGUUUGACUGGAUCUGCUGGCCAGACCAUCAGAGAGUUAGAGUCAGCGGGCAAAAAUGCUUUAGCUCCCACUUU